rnacentral:tRNA from 1 species
GCGGCAGUGGCGGAAUUGGCAGACGCGCAAGAUUCAGGUUCUUGUGCCCGCAAGGGUGUGGAGGUUCAAGUCCUCUCUGCCGCACCA